UCAUCGGGAAGGUCAUUGACGACAGAUGG
rnacentral:piRNA from 1 species